rnacentral:rRNA from 1 species
AUAGCAAUAGCUACUUGCAUCAUACUAGAGAUGAUGCAAGAUCGACUAUGUCGAAUAAAAUUCUAGGUAGAAUUAUGAUAAUGACAUUGUCUGCCUAUGUGUCUUGACCAAAUUACGUGCCAGCAGUCGCGGUAAUACGUAGAAGACUAGUGUUAUUCAUGUUUAAUCGGUUUAAAGGGUACCUAGACGGUAAAUCAAGCCUAAAACUAAAAAAAAUAAAUGAAGGGACUAAUUUACUAGAGUUACUUAUGAGGGGGUAUUAAAGUACUGCUGGUGUAGAGAUGAAAUUCUGUCAUACCUCUUUUCAAUAGAAAAACAAUGGCACAGGUAUAGGCGAAGGCAUCCCCUUAUGUGAUAACUGACGUUGAGGGACGAAGGCUUUGUGUAGCGAACAGGAUUAGAUACCCCAGUAGUCAAAGCAGAAAAUGAUGAAUGUCAUAGAUUAGAUAUAUAAGUUUAUUCUAUAAAUGAAAGUGUAAGCAUUCCACCUCAAGAGUAAUUUGGCAACAUUGGAACUGAAAUCAUUAGACCGUUUCUGAAACCAGUAGUGAAGUAUGUUGUUUAAUUUGAUGAUCCGCAAAAAACCUUACCACAAUUUGAAUAUUUAUAUCUUUUAUUGUUUUUUCUUCUUAUUAUUCAAUUAUUGAAGAAUAAGAAAAAUAGGCAAUAAGAUCUUC